rnacentral:rRNA from 1 species
GACGAACGCUGGCGGCGUGCUUAACACAUGCAAGUCGAACGAAAAGAGGGAAAGAGCUUGCUCUUUCCGGAAUUGAGUGGCAAACGGGUGAGUAACACGUAAACAACCUGCCUUCAGGAUGGGGACAACAGACGGAAACGACUGCUAAUACCGAAUAAGUUCCAAGGGCCGCAUGGCCCAUGGAAGAAAAGGUGGCCUCUACCUGUAAGCUAUCGCCUGAAGAGGGGUUUGCGUCUGAUUAGCUGGUUGGAGGGGUAACGGCCCACCAAGGCGACGAUCAGUAGCCGGUCUGAGAGGAUGAACGGCCACACUGGAAUUGAGACACGGUCCAGACUCCUACGGGAGGCAGCAGUGGGGAAUCUUCCGCAAUGGGCGAAAGCCUGACGGAGCAACGCCGCGUGAGGGAUGACGGCCUUCGGGUUGUAAAACUCUGUGAUCCGGGACGAAAAGGCAGAGUGCGAAGAACAAACUGCAUUGACGGUACCGGAAAAGCAAGCCACGGCUAACUACGUG